AUAUACCACAUUCCUAGACCUGUUUAUAAUUAUUACCUAUUUAUAAUUGUCAGUCAGCAGUAAUCAAUAAAAUUAUUAAGGUGAUCAGUUUGGGUAGCUGAGUAACUGAAGAGUUAGGACCCGAAUUAUGCAAGGCAACUAGAACACUGGGCCUCAUUCGUCGUAACCUCUCCUUUGUCCCACUGAGGCAAAAUGGGCAUGGAUGUAGGAGGUGGCGUAGGACCAGUCAUGUGGGUGACAUGUUGACAGAAUUAAAUUUGGAUAGUUUAGAGCAUAGAAGAAAGGUAUAUGCAGAUGGCAAGCCAAGUCAUUUUGUAGGUGUCAACUUAGUACCACAUAUCAGCGUAAGGGGAAGUAAGUACACAAUUAAAAUGAAAGAAAUGGGUACAGAAAUUCAGAAUGUAAUGAUGUUAUAGACUAUACUAAAGUCUGCAUAAGAGUGAGAAUGCGAGUAGCAGUAAGACUGGAAAGUAAAGGAUGAAUCCUACAGGGGAGAAAAGCUUCAAAUGUUAUCAUUGCAGCUAUGCAGAUAAUAACAGUUGUAGUCUGAGGAGACAUAUGAAAACACAUACAGGAGAGAAACACUUUAAGUGUGAUGUUUGUGAUUUUGCCUGUUAUCAAAGAGCGGAGCUGAAGACACAUACAAAAAAGCAUUCAGUAGAAAAAUGCUUUAAAUGUAAUUAUUGUUCUUAUGCAUGUAGUCGAGGUACUCAUCUAAAGGAACAUAUUAGAGUACAUACUGGAGAGAAAAGUUUUAAAUGUGAUUUUUGUGAUUAUGCAGGUAUAACAAGCACUGUCCUGAAUACACAUAUGAGAACACACACGGGAGAGAAACCCUUUAAAUGUGAUGUGUGUGAUUAUGCUUGUAAUCAAAGCGGUAAUCUGAGAAAACAUAUGAGGAUACAUACUGGAGAGACACCAGUUUAAAUGUGGUGUUUGUGAUUUUUCAUGUAAUUCAGGUUAUUCUUUGAAGAGACAUAUGAGUGUACAUUCAGAAGAGAAACCUUUUAAAUGUAAUGUUUGUGAAAUUGCAUUUAAGCAAAAAUCUGCUUUGAAAAGACAUGCAAGAGUGCAUGCAGGAGAAAAACCCUUUUAAAUGUGAUUCUGCAGGUGAAACAAACAGUGAUCUGAAGACACAUAUGAGAAUGGACACAAUAGAGAAACGCUUUAAAUGUGAUGUUUGUGAUUAUGCAUGUUUAAAAAACAAUGGGCUGAAGACACAUAUGAGAAAAUGACGUUUGUAAUUAUGCUUGUAAUCAAAGCAGUAAUCUGAGAAAACAUAUGCGAAUAUAUACUGGGGAAACACCUUUUAAAUGCAGCAUUUGUGACUUUGCUUGUAAUCAAAGCGAUAAUCUGAGAAAACAUAUGAGAAUACAUACAGGGGAGACACUUUUUAAA
rnacentral:lncRNA from 1 species